GAAAGGUACAUACAAACCCAUUGCCACGACAAGGACGACAAUUAGAAAGCAAUUGUGGAUUAUACAUAAUGCUAGAGGCUGAAGGGAAAUCUAUUUAUUUUUAUUUUUCUUUGUUGUUGUUGUUGUUGUUGUUUUCUGUUUUAUUUUGUUUUUUACUCCUUUCAUCUCAACUAUUUCCAUGUAAAAAUUUGGCAGCUAUGGCUGCAUACCAGAUGGCCUAUGAUUUGAGCAGAUGAAGUGGUGAAACUAUUUCAAGGUUGUCCUGGUUUUCAUUGAUGUGGAGACACCAGAAUACCACUGCAGUCUUAUAGGCUGGGUGCAGCAAUUGUUUUCUUAGUUUCUUGGUAGGAGUCAAUUGCUUCCUACUUGUGUGUGUGUGUGUAAUAAUUACAGGUUGAACAUUAUUUGACAAUGAGAUUCCCCCCCCCAUCAUUUUGUUUAAUUACUUUGAUCACAUAUGGACUCUUUUUCUUUGUUUGUGUGAUGAGCCAUCAAUGGUGCUUCCAGAAUUGAAGCAUCAGUUGGCAGGCUUCUGUCAGGGGGUACCCAGAUGUGGUCACAGUUCUCAAAUUAAUAAACUGGCUCAAUGGGUUGGUAACA
rnacentral:lncRNA from 1 species